rnacentral:tRNA from 1 species
AGAGAGAUGGCUCAGAGGUUAAGAGCACUGGCCGCUCUUCCAGAGAUCUUGGGUUCGAAUCCCAGCCCCACAU